CUCAUCCACACAGAAUAACUAAAAUAUUAACCCAAAUAAAAGAGCUGUAGGAAAAUUCAUGGUUUUAAGUUUGGUAAAUCCAAAACAAUUCAUAAUGUGAGGAUAUCAAGUUGUUUUGAAUUUCGUAAUUAAACUCAAAGAAAAGAAAUUUAACAAGCACCUUUUCAAACAAGUUUUCUACAUUAUUUUACAAAGCAAUUAACAAGCAUUACAAUUCAUAUAUAUAUUCUGGUUCUUGAUUUUAUAGUGAACUUGGCAAGAAAGCAAUCUGCACAUGUGUAUAUGCAGAUAGGUAACUGUAAGAUUACCAAUCUGCACUGGUACACACGUUGCUUGUAUGGAUACUUGCUUUUUGUGGCAGCCUUGGCGAUGGAGGGAAUUGGCAUGUUUGACUUGGUGAGAGGCAAAUGGUUACUGAUACACACAUUGCUUGUGUAUAUCUGUAACCAUUUGUUUUGCCAAGAGGGGAAACAUGCCAAUUUCUUUCUCUCUCCAUAGCAUCCUCAGCAAGAAAGUGAACUGCAUUGAUACACAUGUUGCUUAUGAGUAUCAAUAACCAUUUGUUUCUCACGGAGUCAAAUGUGCCAAUUUCCCUUUGUCGCCAACGCUGCUGUAAAAAGCAACUAUCCAUAUUCCUUUGAAAUACAGUACUAGAUAAACAAUCUUAUUCUCCAUGCAUAUUGAGAAGCAAACUUUUUCUUGGGUAAUAUUAAAAGGAUUCUAUAAUAACUUGACAUACAGAAUAUAUAUUAAACCAAAAUACUUUAUAAUUGCAUUUAUGAAAACUAUUAUUUUCUUACCAUUGCAACUAAAAUGGAAAUACAGGACUUCUGAAUUCAC
rnacentral:lncRNA from 1 species